CCGUGUCCCCCCCGUGUCCCCCCCAGGGGAGAAGGUGAUGUCGGACGACGAGUUCACCCAGGAUUUGUUCCGGCUGCUGCAGCUGCUCUGCGAGGGCCACAACAACGACUUCCAGAACUACCUGAGGACGCAGACGGGGAACACGACCACCAUCAACAUCAUCAUCUGCACCGUCGACUACCUGCUGAGACUGCAGGAGUCCCUCAGUGACUUCUACUGGUACUACU